GCCCCGCAAGGGGAGUGGCAGACGGGUGAGUAACGCGUGGGAACAUACCCUUUCCUGCGGAAUAGCUCCGGGAAACUGGAAUUAAUACCGCAUACGCCCUACGGGGGAAAGAUUUAUCGGGGAAGGAUUGGCCCGCGUUGGAUUAGCUAGUUGGUGGGGUAAAGGCCUACCAAGGCGACGAUCCAUAGCUGGUCUGAGAGGAUGAUCAGCCACAUUGGGACUGAGACACGGCCCAAACUCCUACGGGAGGCAGCAGUGGGGAAUAUUGGACAAUGGGCGCAAGCCUGAUCCAGCCAUGCCGCGUGAGUGAUGAAGGCCUUAGGGUUGUAAAGCUCUUUCACCGGAGAAGAUAAUGACGGUAUCCGGAGAAGAAGCCCCGGCUAACUUCGUGCCAGCAGCCGCGGUAAUACGAAGGGGGCUAGCGUUGUUCGGAAUUACUGGGCGUAAAGCGCACGUAGGCGGAUAUUUAAGUCAGGGGUGAAAUCCCAGAGCUCAACUCUGGAACUGCCUUUGAUACUGGGUAUCUUGAGUAUGGAAGAGGUAAGUGGAAUUCCGAGUGUAGAGGUGAAAUUCGUAGAUAUUCGGAGGAACACCAGUGGC
rnacentral:rRNA from 1 species